rnacentral:rRNA from 1 species
UGGGGAAUAUUGCACAAUGGGCGCAAGCCUGAUGCAGCCAUGCCGCGUGUGUGAAGAAGGCCUUCGGGUUGUAAAGCACUUUCAGCGAGGAGGAAGGUGGUGAACUUAAUACGUUCAUCAAUUGACGUUACUCGCAGAAGAAGCACCGGCUAACUCCGUGCCAGCAGCCGCGGUAAUACGGAGGGUGCAAGCGUUAAUCGGAAUUACUGGGCGUAAAGCGCACGCAGGCGGUUUGUUAAGUCAGAUGUGAAAUCCCCGGGCUCAACCUGGGAACUGCAUUUGAAACUGGCAAGCUAGAGUCUCGUAGAGGGGGGUAGAAUUCCAGGUGUAGCGGUGAAAUGCGUAGAGAUCUGGAGGAAUACCGGUGGCGAAGGCGGCCCCCUGGACGAAGACUGACGCUCAGGUGCGAAAGCGUGGGGAGCAAACAGAUUAGNUACCCUGGUAGUCACGCUGUAAACGAUGUUGAUUUUGGAGGUUGUGCCCCUUGAGGCGUGGNUUCCGGAGCUAACGCGUUAAAUCGACCGCCUGGGGAGUACGGCC